CUUAGCUCUAGCACGUUCUAGGGGAGAAGAGAAUACAAGUCUGGUUACUACAGCUGCAACGACCCAUUCCCAGCAUGAAGGGCCUGACCCCGGUCCUAGCAAGGAGGAGAUGUGAACUUGACUUAGAGUCACCAUGUAUCUGAGGAAGACUGACAUCAUGAGACAACAACUCAAUAAAUGAAAGAACACACAUCCAAAGAAAUAGAAAUAAUAAAGCAAUAUAAAAAGGAUUUAAGAGAGAGAAAACCACUUGGCUGGAAUUAGACUGGCACUAGACCUACUGAACGGAAUGGCUCUUCCCACCUGUAUAAUCUCCUGCUUGGAGCAUGCUCUGGAAGGAACCUCCUCUGGAAGCCGUGCUUGAGUGCCCAUAUCUGGGCCAUAUGCCCCCCAGCCUGGAGCACCCCCUACACUGCACUGCAACAGCAGGUUGACUUGUCUGUCUCCAUUGCACUGUGAACACCAAGAGGGCCAGGAGACUGUGUGUCUUUAGCCCUUGGAACAUGGUGUGGCAGGAGGAAGACAGAAGAAAGGGCCCUGGACAAUCGGGAGGUCUGAGCACACAGGUGCAGGCAUGCAGUGUAGGCGUGUGGGCCAGGGUGACUCGAGGGGCUGGGACCGACACGCCUCAAGAGGAGUUGGAGAAAGGGGUCAACCUCCUCUCUGGAUGGGACAAGGUGAGGCCAGCACGUGAAGAGGCUUUUGGUUCUCCUGAUCUCUUGAAAGCCACCCAAAUACAGAGGCAGGGGUGGAUCCCGCCCACUCAGAUGGCUUCAUUGGCCCCCAGGAACGCAGCAAGUGCCAAGAUGAAGGGGAAGUCAGGGUCACAAGAAAUAACACUGCACUGGGAGGAACAAGGCAUCCUCAGCAUGGGCAAACCUGGAGCUCCUGGAAGUGGAUACGAGGAGAAGAGAGGGAAGGAGAGGGGUGAACAGAGCUCUCACGUGCAGGCACAGGCUGUGGGGGCGGGUAGUGCCAAGGUUGCAAGCAAGAGUGAGGGGCCUGGAAAAAUGACAGAAGCCCCCAAGUCUGAACUACAACCUGAGUAUAGAACACACACACAUGCACACACAGAGGCACACAUGGCCAUUUCUCCAGCCAGGGCCUCUCUCCACCCAGACCCCAUAAGCAGAGAGAAAGGAGGAAAGAGAGGAGGAUACUCACCGACAUCAGCCUGCCGGACGUUUUUCAUCCGGAUGACCCUCACUGUCAACAGGUGGCAUGGAGACAGCCCCUCCUGCAGAUUAAGAGCACAGUGGAUUCACUCUUCAAGCAUCAUCUUAAAGCCAUUGCCCCUGGCCUGCCUGCUUGCAUUGCAUCAACCCUCAUGCUGCCCUGCCAUUGUUUGCUAGGGGAUCGUCUUCCCAGCCUGGAAGGUUCUGAGAGACUGGGGACCCUGCCUGGCUUUUCUUCUUUGUACCUCCAGUACCUGCAGCGUGCUGAUAUGCAGAGGGUGCUCCAUAAAAGUUUGUUAAAGGAGUGAAUGAAUGUUCUACCCCAAAUGUAGAAUGAACACUAAUGGCAAGGGAGUCCUUGGGUGCUUCCACUCUCAUUUCCUCAUUGACCAACUUCUCGGCAUUCCCCUCCUACCAUGCCCUACACAGGGAAACCCACCCUCUUGCCUACUUGGGAAGCAGGCACAGGGGGGCUCUGGGGGCUGAAGACACUGAUCAAGGCAAGACAUUACUCACCUGGAGAUGUCAUGCCAGGUGCCCCCCCGACCCCCGCCUGCGCUCAGCUGCAGCCCAGGACCUCUU